UACGUAGGUGGCAAGCGUUGUCCGGAUUUACUGGGCGUAAAGAGCGCGCAGGCGGUCGUUCAAGUCGCGUGUGAAAGCCCCCGGCUCAACUGGGGAGGGUCACGCGAUACUGAUCGACUCGAAGGCAGGAGAGGGUAGUGGAAUUCCCGGUGUAGUGGUGAAAUGCGUAGAUAUCGGGAGGAACACCAGUGGCGAAGGCGGCGAUCUGGGAACAUACUGACGCUGAGGUGCGAAAGCGUGGGGAGCAAACAGG
rnacentral:rRNA from 1 species